rnacentral:rRNA from 1 species
GACGAACGCUGGCGGCGUGCUUAACACAUGCAAGUCGAACGGAAAGGCCCUUCGGGGUACUCGAGUGGCGAACGGGUGAGUAACACGUGGGUGAUCUGCCCUGCACUUUGGGAUAAGCCUGGGAAACUGGGUCUAAUACCGAAUAGGACCACGCGCUUCAUGGUGUGUGGUGGAAAGCUUUUGCGGUGUGGGAUGGGCCCGCGGCCUAUCAGCUUGUUGGUGGGGUAAUGGCCUACCAAGGCGACGACGGGUAGCCGGCCUGAGAGGGUGACCGGCCACAGGGGGAAUGAGGGACGGGCGAGAGUAAGACGGGAGGAAGCAGGGGGGAGGAGGGAAGAAGGGGCGGAAGAAGGAAGCAGCAACGAAGAGGGAGGGAGGACGGGCGGAGGGAGGAAAACAGCGAGCGCCGGUGACGAAGGGGGAGGGACGGGAAGGGGUAAAGAAGAAACGGAUAACGACGUG